UAUAUAUAUAUAUAUAUAUAUAUAUAUAUAUAUAUGUAAUACUUUACUUUCCCAUAGGUGACAUAGGAGUACUAGUGAUUUCAUUUGUGUAUUGUGUGAGCCAUUUGCUGUGGCAGUGAUCUGCCAACCUUAGAAUCGCGCCACAGAGGACUGUCAAAGGGAAGGACCGCUGCCUUGCAUGUCAGUCUGCUGAAGGUGUGAGGUGACCAAAGACCCUCGUCAAGAAAAUAGGAUCUUGUUUUUUUUAUUCACUUGACCUCAUCCUUCCAUCUACUAUUGGAACCUCCUACUACUCCCUUUCCACUAAGAGAAGAAUGGCAGACGAUGAACAUUCACUCAUGGGUAUAAAAGAAAAAAAGAUCUAAGGAUGUAUUAUACUGAUAUACUCAAGUCAUUUGUAAAAGUGAAAGUUUGCUCUGUCAACAAAAUCAGCUUGUACUGCUGCUCCUCUUUAAUUUUUUCCUCGUUGUGAUCAUUACAUACAGAUGCUUGAACAACUCCACUACAGUCACUAUAGGCUAAGGUGAUAUGGUAGCCAUUCCUGUGCUCUCUUAGCAGUAUGCCUGUUUGGUGCAUCCAUCACCCAUAAUGUUCUUGUCACUUUACAAUAUUUGUAUAUUUAAUGUAUUUUCUAUCUCCUUAGUAAUUAGUCAUGCCUCAAGAUGGUGUUUGAAAACAUUGGUACAAAUAUAUUGAUAAUAUUGAAGCAAAAUUUAUGGCAAUAAGUCAACAUGCAAUUUACAUUACUUUAAAAAAGAUCAGUUUGGGACAAGGCUGUUUGAUAAAUGUAGAGGAAAAUAUCCUAUAAAUAUAGGAAAUAUUGAGAAGUGACAAGAACAUUAAGAGUGCAACAACCAGGAGCCUGCAGGAGAGGAGACUGGAGGGAAGGAAUUUAGGUUUCAUAUCAGCUUAACUUUAAGGGACUAAUAGUAAUGCAAAUAAUGAUAACAAUAAUAUUUUGGUUUAUUUGAAUGGCAGCCUUACAACUGAUACUUUACAUAUUACAGGUACUUAUUUACUAACAUGCAUACUUCAACUUAAGCAUGCCCAACCCCAUGGUGGCAUCUUACUACUUGAUACAAUGGCUGCCAGAUGGCACCAGAUCAACCUAGUGGACUAGUCUUAGGAUGGUCAGGCCACCCUGUGUGUAUUUUUUCUUAGGAGUUUGUUUCUCGUACCUGGCAAUGGGUCACAACUUCUGAUUUAUACUAGAGUCCGUAUUCUGCAUUGUGUGUGUGACCGUACAUAGUUAUCAUCAGGUCUCACAGAAUUUGUAACUGUCAUUCCUCUGAUUGUUAGAAGUCUUCGACUGCUAGAAAUUCACAAUUCAUCAAUGCAGAAUAUGUAGAAUGAAAUAGGUUCUUGACAUAACUUUCUUGGAUAUAAAUUGUUUUCACAUCAUAUUACUACUUUUGGGAAUAGUUAGACAGUGUAACAUGAUAAAUAGAAGAUUAUGGACAACAGAUUGACAUGCAGUCUGUGCAAGGCAAGGCUUGUCCUAGUUUAUGAAAACUGUUCGUACUGGUCCUGGCAGUUAUUUAUAAUCAUGCUUUAUUGCAUCAAAGAAGGACAUUAUUUACUUAUCAUUACUGAUAUUUAUUGUUCAGUUGAUGAUACAAAUUGUUGAAGAUCAUGUUAUGGUAUAUACAGCCAUGUUAUCAUGAUGUUAUCAAGAGUUCCAGUAGUCAUAGACAGCACUAUAGCAUGGUGAACCCUGUCUUAGCACUUACGGGCGACAUCACAAGAUUAUUGCCGGCCGUAGAUAGACUUAUGUCUAAAAUGCGCCAUAUUGCUCGCUAUGACAGACAUCAUUAGCUAUAACGGGUUGUAGAAUACUGACCCAGGUUCAUAAUCACUGCUAGGUGAACAGAGGCAACAUAGACUGAAGUCUGCCCAAACUUCUGUCUUUACCCAAGAUUCAAAUCAUAGCCAUCCUGAUCAUGAGUCAGGCUCACUAACUACUGGAUCACUAGGCUAUUGCUACUACUGCAGUGGUGUACAGUAUGGUGUUCCUGGACACAAAUUAGUUGUAAAAAAUUUGCCUACAUACUUGUUCAUAAUGCUCCUCCUUUCUCUCUUCUGGUUGUCAUUACAUACAGACCUUUGCAUAACAUUUAUUAUUUAAGGUGAGAUACUCCAAUAUUCUCUGUUUCUCUCUCCUGCUCAUUACCUGGACACAUGCAACAUUCCUUGUAAAUGUAUCAAUCAAUCACAUUUGUGUGUGGCUUCCAAAACUUGAUAUCAACAUCAAUAAUAAACACUUUAGAAAAAUGGCAUAAGGAAUGUAAGAUUAUUUUAGAUACAGGAAGACUUGUUUUUAUUUUAUUUUUUAUAUUGAUAAAAUUGAUAAAUAUGGUAAAUUACAUCUAAGACCAUAAUUUUUGUACUGCAUUAUAUUUCAUAUUUUCAUGUGUUAGAUAGCAUAAUGAAAAUUGAGGAUCCUUUCUAAAGAAUUCACAGUCUUUAAAUGUUUGACUUGGAGAUUAUCUUGUGUGUCAUAUAUUAAUGUGUACACUUUUGUUCUGCUUCAUGUGUGCUAUUUUGAGAUGUGUUUUUGUCAUGCUACAGUGAAGAGAGUACCAUAUAUAUUUUGCAGUGUUAGUUAUUAUACUAAAUAACAAAGUAAAAUAAAAAGUGUGGAGCUUUUUAUAGACAAGUGGUUGUUCAUUGAGGUGGCAAUAAAGUCAAUCAUAUUUACUGGAUUACUUGUGCAUCUCCAAUUAUACUUCAUGUACAUAUUGAUUAUGUAUAUAACUCUUGUGUAGAUAAGAUGUUUUUAUGAGUUUGAAUUCAUCUUAUAUUAUACUUAUAUAAUUCUUACUAUUUGAGACAUGACAAACAUUUCCAUCAGGAAUUCCAGAAAAUGACCAAAUCAGUGGAAAUGAUAAUGAAAGAAGGUAAUAAGAAACCCAGUCAGUUAAUUCACACUGAUGAAUUGCGAUUAAUAAAUGAGUGACAUUCAUUGAACCCAUUCGUGAAUCAGGAUCAAUGAUACAUUUAGUGUGUGUACCUUUCAAUAUUAUAACAUACAUAUACAUAGAGCUUACAGUAAGUUUUCCUAAUAUUUUGUGGUGAUGUUCUUCAGAGAAAUUAGGACAAAGUUUUGAGUCGAGUUCUUUGCUGGAAAAAUUAAUUGUGAUUUUGGAACCUCUAUAAGUGCUGUAAUACCUCGGCUUACGACAGAUUUUGUAGAUGUGCAACUUGUAAGAUGAGCAUAUGUAUCAAGCAAAAUUUGCUUUAGGAUACAAGCAUAACUUGGAAAACUGGGCAAAAAGAGCUGAUGGUUCUCCUCUGUCACAGCUCUUCUUCUCGUGACCUGUUAAGCUUUGUAGCUCUCCGUAGGUUAUCAUUCCUUGCUUCUAUUGUUUAGUUUCUUGUAUACCUUCUUUACUCUGUUACACUUACUCAAUUUUUUAACUCUUUAGGACAUUUUGUAGAAUUUACUGACUUCAUUUUAUCUCUGUCCUCUUCUUGUAACCCCCAUGCCUUUCCUUUUUGUGAUGGCCACUGCUGCUACCACAAGGUGGCUUCUCUGAUCCAAAUGUCUAUCCCACUCCACUAUCAGGAGUGCACUGGGCCUCAUUGCUCUACAGAACCUGCAGUUUUAUUGCCUGUCACCUUUCACAUGUAUCUCUAGCAUUGUCAGCAUCUUUGCACUCUUACCUUACUCUCCUACAUUAUUUUGUCACCAGGUUUAUGCAUUAUUGUAACUUUACAUUAUUAAAACUAUGGUCUGCAUUAUGUAGCAGCCUUUAAUUUAAAAGAAGGUACUUAUUAGGAGGGUGAUAGUAAUUUGUUCACAUAAUAGUGCUUAAAAUUACUUCUAUAAGUACAUUUCCUCUUUAAUGGAAUGAACCAUACAUGUAUCCAUUAAUCUUUAUGGUGAAAAUUCUUGAUCUAUCAGUAAAUUGAACUACAAGUCUGUACCAGAAAUGGAUUAUACACACAAUCCAAGGUGCUGUUGUACCUGCAUCAUUAUUUCUGGUAUGAAAAAAAUAUGAAUGAUUUUUUUAUUUAUUAUUAUUAUUAUUAUUAUUAUUAUUAUUAUUAUUAUUAUUAUUUUAUUUAUUUAUUUUUUUAUUUUUUAUUUGCAUAAUUUAUUUUAUCAAUUGGUGAAUACUGAAGUAGACAAAAGAACGAGGCCUGUAAUAGGUACACAGAUUUACCUAAAGCACAUCCUAACAUUCCCAGGCUCACCCAGACAUGCAAAUCUCAUCCAAGCACACACUCAGAACAGGCUAUGCUACAUCCAAAAUGCAGCCAAACACAGCAACCUGUACUGAACACACUCAAAACACACCAACUGAUAUCCCACAAGGAGCAUGUAAGUUGUAUAGAUGGAGUGCAAAAUAAGCUGGUAAAACAGUGGGGUUAAUCAAAGGAUAAUGUAUUGCUGUAGGUAUGUAAUGUAUUGGAUAAGUGUAGUGUUGAGGGUAGGAAUCCUUAUUUACAUAAUUUUUAGUGUAUAGUAAUCUUAUAAAAUUAAAUUUCCAUGUAAUAUAAUGCACUGUUUGGUUAUUGUAGAUAAAGGAUUGUCUGAUACUUUUUUCCCAGUAUUUAAAAGGGUCUCAUCCUUGUAUUUUAUUAUUUAUCAGUUUUUUAUUUUUUUUUUUUUUUUUUAUUCAAUAGAGACCUUGGCCUGAUAUAUUGAUAGAUGGAUUAUUUUAUUUAUUUUAUUUACUUACCUUGUAGCUUGCUUUUGAUAUGGCCAGUCAUGAAAAAUGUGUGUGCCAGUAGCUCACAAGUCCAUACGUAUAGUUUGACAUAUUUCUAGUACCUACACUAGAAGGCUUACAGAGACAUGUAGAGUGUGGCCUGUGCUCGGCAACUCAGACGUGUAUGUAGAUCUUAAGAUGAAGCAAAGACCAAGCUAGGUUGUGAUGCAAACAUUCUGAACCAUUUUCUUAUUUUAUUUUAUUAUUUUUUUUUAUUUAUGUAUCUAUAUUUUCAUUAAUUUGAUUUUUAAUUUCCUAUUUUUUUCUUUAUUUAACAUGUAUAUAUAAUUUUUUAGAAUCUCUCUCUCUCUCUCUCUCUCUCUCUCUCUCUCUCUCUCUCUCUCUCUCUCUCUCUCUCUCUCUCUCUCUCUCUCUCUCUCUCUCUCUCUCUAGCACCUAAUGAUGAUAAACAUGGCUUUCAAUGUAAUACAUAGUAGAGAAUGUUUUUGCAAUGCCCAACAAGUUUAUAAUCAUAUGAAGCAUCAGUAUGAUUAUUUAGAUGCACCCAGUGAUACAGGCUAUUUGCACAGGGAAAUUAACAUGGAAUAAGUGAUGAUGUUGAUCCUGCAAUGUAAUGUUAACAGCUUGUGUGUCUUGUGGUGUGAAAUUAAUUAACUGAGACUGCUAUGGCUUUGUCUCAAGCUUCAUAUAAUGAUUUCGUAUAAUUUUGAAAGGCUACUAACAGCAAACAGGGUUGGAGUAGUUCGGAUUUUUUUAUGUUUAUUUUAUUUCUCCUCUGUGAAAUAAUCUCUGGUUACCGAUUUGAAGUAAUGACCAUCAACCUGGAUUACCAGUCAGAAUCAUAUCCAUGGUACACACCCAAACCACUCCUGUGAGGUGCAGGAUAUGUUGUGGCAAAGAGAGCGGUGGUGGUGGUUACGAGUGAAAACAUGUUUCCUUUAAGUAUGAAAAUCAAACACUCCAAAUAUUCUAUUGUGAGAAGAGAGAAAAGAUUAGGUUUGAUAAAUGAACUUAACAUAUGUAUAACUAAACCUAACACUUUCAAGCUCUCACUCCAAAAAGAUGACUAAGAUCACUGAUAUACAGAUGAUCCCAGAUUUCAUUAAUGUCAAGACCAGGAAAAUGUCACUUGACCAUUUAAAGUUUUGAUGUUUGCCAUAUGUUUUUACCAUAAUAUAUGUUGAAACAACUUGUAUACUAUGUAAUUUUAACUGGAACUUAUUUGCAUAGAAAACUAGAAAAAACAAAAUCAGAAAUACUCAGUCCAUUCUGCAGUCUGGAAAGAGGAGGCUGAAUUCCCUGCAGUUACUGGUAGUGCUGUGGCUCAGACUGCUGAUGGUCUAAAACAAUUUGUAACUGGGAUUUUUUUUUUCAUUUCCUGUUCAUUAGUGCAUUUUAUAGACUGAGAAACUUGUCUCUACAUCCACACCAGCCAUCAUCAAUUUCAUUAGAAAUUUCUUCAAUCUUGUUCAUAGGUACAGGUUAGUUAGUGGUUCCAUCGGAAACAAGCCCCACAGUCUUAGGCUUUGGCUUUUUUCAGUGGAGAAGAAACCACCUUAACAAAAAGGUAUUUAUAAUGUAUUUUCAGAAUUUUUUUGUAAAGAAAUACUUCACAUUCUUUUACAUGUUUUCCUGAUCUUUAAUGGACACACACAUUGUCAUGUGGCAGCUAACAUGAAGUUAUUGAUCAUAGUUUGAUUGCAUGAACACAAUAAUUUCUUGUCCAAAACAACAUUUACCACAUACUUGCAGUUACAUAAAUCACCUUUUUAUUUAAGAUUUUUUUUUUUUUUUUUCCUCCACUUACAAUGGGUCUUUCAAAAUGUAAGACAUGUUUGUCAGAAUGUUAUUUGAGUCAGAGACUUCAGCAAGUAUAUGAUAUGUGGGAACCUAACUGUUUUGUGUGAGAAAGGUUGGCAGCACUCAGAAAUUAUGUAGUUUUUGAAAUUGUAGUUCAAUAUUGAUGGUAAAUGUACAACUGUCCUAAGUAGUGAUGUCAUAAAGUUCAGUUAAUUUCAUUUUCUACAUGAAGUGUAAAUUAGUACAUAGACUAAUGGUGUAUUUUAACAGUUCUGUAAAAACUAAGAGGAGUUAUUAAUGUAAUUGAUGGAGACACACAUCUCAUACUGAUUUUGUUUCUUUUUUAUAUAUAGGGUGUUUCAGAAAAAAUGCCAGGAUUUUGAUCUCCAUUUAUUAAAAAACUAAUAAUGACAAAAGAACAAACUGUAGUGCUAUCAAAAGCAAACUUGAUGGCAAUUUAUCCCUUGUCUAAGUGAACUUCUUGAAGUUCAUGUUUUCAAUAUGAGUGCCGCAUGGGUUGAAGCAUGAUUUAAGGCAUACACAGAAAUUCUCACCAACUAUCUGGCAUGUCUCUUGGGUCACACUGGUUGUGUAUACCUCCACAUUUUGCUUUAACGCAGUGAGUGUUGAUGGUUUGUUGGCAUAGACUUCAGCCCAGAACCAAAAAUCAGGAGGACUGAGGUCAGAGACAAUGCCAGAAAGUUGGUGAGAAUUUCUGUGUACGCCUUAAAUCAUGCUUCAACCCACGCGGCACUCAUAUUGAAAACAUGAACUUCAAGAAGUUUACUUAGACAAGGGAUAAAUUGCCAUCAAGUUAGCUUUUGAUAGCACUACAGUUUGUUUUGUCAUUAUUAGUUUUUGAAUAAAUGGAGAUCAAAAUCCUGGCAUUUUUUCUGAAACACCCUCUAGAAUAUGACAUCAAUGCUUUGGGAAGCUGUAUAUGGUAAACUCAUAACUGAUCAGUUUUAUGACUUACAUGAGUGUUGAUUACCUAUAUACAUUUGUCAUUAAAGUGAUGUUACUAUUAUUAUUAUUGUUAUUAUUAUUAUUAUUAUUAUUAUUAUUAUUAUUAUUAUUAUUAUUAUUAUUAUUAUUAUUAUUAUUAUUAUUAUUGUUAUUAUUAUUAUUUUAUUAUUAUUAUUAUUGACAAAUAUUAGUUCUGUUAUUUCUAGGAAAAAAUGGAUAGUUUCUUACUAACUGGCCAAUGAUUUUUAGGGGCCAGUUAUGUUACUUAAUCUAACAUAACCUAACAUAAUCUAAUAUAACAUAUAGUAUUGAUUUUUCUUUGUUUAGAUUGACUUAAAAUGGAUUUUAUAACAUCUGAAGAUAUUUUUACAGUGGCUGUAGUACCUGUUUGGAUUAAUGUUGAUAAAAUAAUGUGAAAGGUGGACUGAUUGCCUUCAUUGGCAGCAUGACAGGGCAGCAAGUGUGUGUCAAAACAAGGCACCGAAAAGUAAACUCAGACAGUAGACCACAGUGGUGAAGAAUAUGAACCCUUAGGUGUGGUUUGGUCUUAGCACAUGGGAUGCCUUGAGUAAUGUGCAAGUGUGUCAAAGUGAAGCAUUGGAAGGUGUGCCGAGAUCAUGGGCUUCAUCGCAGGAAAGGGUGAACAAUUUGAUGUAUUUUGGUCUGAGCACUUCUUCUAAGAUAGAAUGUCUCUAUCAGUGUGACUGAAGGCUAACUUAAACCCACUCAAAUGUAUGUUUGGAUUGGGAUGGAUGCAUUUCUACUGUGUUAAUGUGUGUGGAAGUGUGUGGUGCUGAUGAUGAUCACAGUGGUUUAAUGGGAAGAACAGCCAGUGUUCUGUGAGCUACCAAUGUACUUUAGGUCUGUAUCUCUGUAGUAGACCCGUGUGAUUUAUGAGAGAGGUCUGUAACUUGUUAGACAUAUCUUGUAAGGUCUUCUAUAAGUGCUAGCAGGACCUCUUAAUUUAUGGUAAAAGGUCUUCAGUGCAGGACCUCCUGUAGCAUAUACGAGACCUAAAUUGCAGGAUCUGUGAGUUACAAAGCCUGUAAAAGGUCUAAGAUGUAGGACUUAUAACUUUUGAGGUCUAUAAAAGGUCUACAAUGCUGGGCCUAUAAAAUGUCUGUAAUGCCAGAAUUGUAAUUUUUACCCAGGCCUGUGUAGGGUCUAGAGUGGAGGAGUUGUAAGUUAUUAUGCAUGUAAAUGGUCUGGAAUGAAGAAACUUUAACUUGUAUGGUCUGUAAAAUGUUUGCAGUGCAGAAACUGUAACUUAUGAGGCCCAUUAUGUAAGGCAAGACCUUCUGCUUCAACUCAGUAGGCCUGUAAGAUGAAUGACCAGCUUUAUGAGGUCUAGGAAUGGUGUGUGGAUGCAACAGACAAACGUACACUCACUCCCUGGACUCAAGAAUCCUAAUUGUUGGAUGACCACAAGAUGUAUUAGGAAUUUCAGGUAACUGGAAUGUUAUAUGUAUUUUUAUGAAACUCUUUAAGUAUUCUGUGAAUAUCUUAAAGAGUUGAUAGAAGUCUUAUGAAAGCCAAUUUUUGCUGUUUCAAACAUUAUAAAACUGAAACCUUUAUCAA
rnacentral:lncRNA from 1 species